GGGCGUGUGGCUCAGUUGGUAGAGCGUUCGCUUAGCAUGUUCGCUUUGGAUAUGCGAAAGGUCCUGGGUUCGAUUCCCAGCUCGUCCA